UAUCCACAGCAUUCUUCUGAACAGGGAAUUCUCUUGCUUUAUGCUCAUCCCUCUUCCAGAACUGGACAGAUUCUAAGACCAUCCACAUGAUGACUAUCACCAGAACUAUUUCGGACAGAGAAUUUUUCAUCAGGUUUGGUGGUUUUUCUUAAAGGAAUAGUUUUUGUUUCAUGCUUUGAGCUUUUAAAUUACGUUCGCCAAAUUCACUAUAUUUUGGUUUAAGGUAAAUUUUCUUGCUAAGUAGGGUAGAAUGUAUUCCACAGAUUUUAAUAUGAAUUUUCAUUAAAAAAAAGCACAUUUUGAAAAAUUUUUGAAGAACUUAUUGCGGAAAUGAUCUUGUCUUUUUACUAGUUAUUGAAAAUCAGAAAAUAAUCUAGAUGAGGAAAUGGAUUAAUGGGGAAUUUUAAACGUCCUUUAUCAUGGAAAGUAUUGUAUUACAGAACAAAUUUUGUCAAAGUCAAAUUUGGUCAGCAAAAAAUUCGAAAUGAUCAAUAAAAAAUAAAAAAAAAAUGGUCAGUAAAAAAUAAAAAAAGGGCAGCAAAAAGUUUAAGAAGAUCAGUAAAAAAUUAAAAAAGAGCAGUACUUUAUUAAAAGCGGUCAGUAAAAAAUGAAAAGUGGUCAGCAAAAAAUUAAACAUGAUCAGUAAAAAGUAAAAGAUGAUCAGUAAAAAACAAAAAGUGGUCAGUAAAAAAUAAAAAGUGGUCAGCAAAAAAUUAAAAAUGAUCAGUAAAAAUAUUUAAAAAAGCUGCAAAAAAUUAAAAAUGAGCAGUAAAAAAUACAAAGUGGUCAGCAGAAAAUUUAAAACGAGCAGUAGAAAUAUUCGAGAUGAUCAGUAAAAAGUUAAAAAGUGAUCAGCAGAGAAUUAAAAAUGAGCAGCAAAAAAUAAAAAAUGGUCAGUAAAAAACAAAAAGUGAUCAGCAAAAAAUUAGAAAGUGAUCAGUGAAAAAUAAAAUAUGGUCAGUAAAAAAUUAAAAAUGAGCAGUAAAAAAAAAUUUGAUCAGUGGAAAAUCAAAAGUGGUCAGCAAAAAAUAAAAAGUGGUUAGCAAAACAUUAAAAGUGGUCAGCAAAAAAUUAAAAGUGAUCAGUGAAAAAUAAAAUAUUGUCAGUAAAAAAUUAAAAAUGAGCAGUAAAAAAUAAAAUUUGAUCAGUAGAAAAUCAAAAGUGGUCGGCAAAAAAUAAAAAGUGGUCAGUAAAAAAUAAAAAGUGAUCAGCAAAAAAUUAAGAGUGAUCAGUGAAAAACAAAAUAUGGUCAGUAAAAAAAUUAAAAUUGAGCAGUGAAAAAUAAAAUUGGAUCAGUAGAAAAUAAAAUGUUAUCAAUAAAAAAUAAAAAGUGGCCAGUAAAAAAUUAAAAAUGGUCAGUAAAAAAUUGAAAAAUGAUCAGUAAAAAAUAAAAUUUGAUCAGUAAAAAAUAAAAAGUGAUCAGUAAAAAUAAAAAGUGGUCAGUUAAAAAUUUAAAAUGGGCAGUAGAAAAUAAUAUUUGAUUAGUAGAAAAUGAAGUGGUCAGUAAAAAGUUCAAUAAAAAACAAGAAGUGGUCAACAAGAAAUUUAAAAUAUUCAAUAAAGUAAAAAACUGGUCAGCAAAAAUUAAAAAUGUACAGUUAAAAAUAAAAUGUGGUCAGAAAAAAUAAAAAAUGGACAAUAAAAAAUAAAAAAGUGAUCAGUAAAAAUUUAAAAAUGAGCAGUAAUUUUCUUCAUUUUCCAGUGAAAUUUCGCACAUCUUGAGCCUAACGGAGACUUUAAUAGGGUGUAAAUUAUGAGGCCUCUAUAUCUCUCAUAGUUUCCAAGGGUUUGCGGAGUCUUUGUUUUUUCCAUUUUGUUUUUCCAAUUUGUCUUUGGAAUCUUUUUCUUCGGUAACCCUUGUUUUUUGGAAACUUUUUCUAUGGAAAUCUUGUCUUUUAUAAAUUUUAAACAAAUAUAUUUUAUUAAAUAAAAUAAUGAUAUUACAAUGGUGUUCUUUGAAGUUUUUAGUUUCGUCCUUCAGGAUAAAGGAAAAUUUUCUGUGUUUUGGGAAAUUUUUAGUUUCGUCAUUUAGGGCAAAGAGAAUUUCUGUAUUUCGGGAAAUUUUUAGUCUCGUCCUUUGGGAAAAGGGUGUUUUGGGAUGUUAAAAGUAUCGCCUAUCAGGACGAAAGGAAAUUUUCUGUUUUUGGGAGAUUUUUAGUUUCGGCCUUCAGGGCAAAGGGAAAUUUUCUGUUUUGCGAAAUUUUUAGUUUCGUCAUUUUGGGCAAAGGAAAAUUUUCUGUGUUUUGGGAACUUAUCAGUAUCGUCUGCCGGGGCAAAGGGAAAUUUUCUGUGUUUUAGGAAAUUAUCAAUAUCGUUUGUCGGCGCAAAAGGAAAUUUUCUGUUUUUUGGAGGUUUUUAGUUUCGUACUUUGGGGCAAAGGGAAAUUCUCUAUGGUUUGAGAAGUUUUAAGUUUCGUCCUUUGGGGCAAAUGGAAAUUUUUUGAGAAAAAGGAAAUUUUUGGAAAGGUAUAAAAUAUACUUGUGCAAAAUGUGUUACAGACAGUAUUUAUGAAAAUUGUGAAAAAUGUAUGAAAUACAAGAUUUCCAAAGACAAAGUUUUUAAAAACAAAAGUUACGGAAGACAAAGAUUCCAAAGAAAAAACCGGGAAAAACAAAAGUGUAAAAAACAAAAUGGAAAAAACGAAGAUUCCCGA